rnacentral:rRNA from 1 species
UACGGGAGGCAGCAGUGGGGAAUAUUGCACAAUGGGCGCAAGCCUGAUGCAGCCAUGCCGCGUGUAUGAAGAAGGCCUUCGGGUUGUAAAGUACUUUCAGUCGUGAGGAAGGUGUUAAGGUUAAUAACCUUAGCAAUUGACGUUAGCGACAGAAGAAGCACCGGCUAACUCCGUGCCAGCAGCCGCGGUAAUACGGAGGGUGCGAGCGUUAAUCGGAAUUACUGGGCGUAAAGGGCACGCAGGCGGUUAAUUAAGUUGGAUGUGAAAUCCCCGGGCUUAACCUGGGAAUGGCAUUCAAGCUGGUUAGCUAGAGUCUUGUAGAGGGGGUAGAAUUCCAUGUGUAGCGGUGAAAUGCGUAGAGAUGUGGAGGAAUACCGGUGGCGAAGGCGGCCCCUGGACAAAGACUGACGCUCAUGUGCGAAAGCGUGGGGAGCGAAAC